rnacentral:rRNA from 1 species
GAUGAACGCUGGCGGCGUGCCUAAUACAUGCAAGUCGAGCGAACAGACGAGGAGCUUGCUCCUCUGACGUUAGCGGCGGACGGGUGAGUAACACGUGGAUAACCUACCUAUAAGACUGGGAUAACUUCGGGAAACCGGAGCUAAUACCGGAUAAUAUAUUGAACCGCAUGGUUCAAUAGUGAAAGACGGUUUUGCUGUCACUUAUAGAUGGAUCCGCGCCGCAUUAGCUAGUUGGUAAGGUAACGGCUUACCAAGGCGACGAUGCGUAGCCGACCUGAGAGGGUGAUCGGCCACACUGGAACUGAGACACGGUCCAGACUCCUACGGGAGGCAGCAGUAGGGAAUCUUCCGCAAUGGGCGAAAGCCUGACGGAGCAACGCCGCGUGAGUGAUGAAGGUCGUCGGAUCGUAAAACUCUGUUAUUAGGGAAGAACAAAUGUGUAAGUAACUAUGCACGUCUUGACGGUACCUAAUCAGAAGGCCACGGCUAACUACG